AAUAGCGGAGGAAAAGAAACCAACAGGGAUUGCCUUAGUAACGGCGAGUGAAGCGGCAAAAGCUCAAAUUUGAAAGCUAGCACCUUCGGUGUUCGCGUUGUAAUUUGAAGAUAGUUUCCUUGAGUAGUCCUUUAUCUAUGUUCCUUGGAACAGGACGUCAUAGAGGGUGAGAACCCCGUAUGAUUUUGGAUACUACUCUUUGUGGGAUUCUAUCGAAGAGUCGAGUUGUUUGGGAAUGCAGCUCUAAGUGGGUGGUAAAUUCCAUCUAAAGCUAAAUAUUGGCGAGAGACCGAUAGCGAACAAGUACAGUGAUGGAAAGAUGAAAAGAACUCUGAAGAGAGAGUGAAAAAGUACGUGAAAUUGCUGAAAGGGAAGGGCUUGAGGUCAGACUUGGUGUUUAAUGAUUAUCAGUUCUUCUUGGACUGUGCACUCGUUUUUCACCGGGCCAAUAUCAGUUUUAGCGGUAGAGUACCCCUUGAAAUGUGGCUUCCUUCGGGGAGUGUUAUAGUCUUGGGGAGAUCUACUUGCUGGGACUGAGGACUGCGCUUCGGCAAGGAUAUUGGCGUAAUGACCUUAAGCCGCCCGUCUUGAA
rnacentral:rRNA from 1 species